rnacentral:tRNA from 1 species
UCCCCAAUAGUUCAGUCGGUAGAACACCGGACUGUUAAUCCGUAUGUCCCUGGUUCGAGUCCAGGUUGGGGAGCCA